AUUGUUGUUCCACCUAAUAGCUAUAUAUACACGGCAGACGGCAACCUGCAAGCUACACCAGCCGGUCGAUUUACAUGAGCGUCCAACUUUCUCUGACCUAUUCUACCAUUAAACGACAUGAAAGCAAAGUCCUUAAAAGUAUUUUGACAUGGUGAAGGAGCUCAGUUUCUAGCGCCCGGAAUAGGAAGGGGCAGCCGAUCGAUAUUCCAUAUACUGCACUGAAAAGAUCCAACACAGUGAGCCAGCGUUGAAUACUGUAUAACGAGAGCUUCAAGAGCUUGUCGUGGAAAGGGGAGAAAAUAAGAUGGCGCUAAGCGUCGCGCGAUCCCUGGUGGGGAGUGCCGUAAACAAGGCGGCCUCCGAGGCCAUGGAUGAGAUGGCAUUGCUCAUGGGAGUGAGGAAUGAAAUAUGGUACAUCAAAGACGAGCUAAGAAUAAUGCAAGCUUUCUUGAGAACUGCUGAAAGGAUGAAGGAUAGAUAUGAGCUUGUCAAAGUUUGGGCGGAGCAAGUAGAGGACCUAUCCUAUGACAUUAAACAUUGCUUGGAUGAGUUCCAGUUUAAUUUGGGACACCCAGGUUGCUUGCAACGGCUGACGAAGCUUAGAGACCGCCAUCAAAUUGCUGUCCAGAUUCACAGCCUGAAAGUAAGAGUUGGAGAAGUAAGUAACAGGAUCCAACGCUACAGUCAUUUAAUGAAGCCCGUUACCCCUAGCAGCAUGGAUGACAGGAGAUUUUACAAGGAUAAGGCCAGUUCUGACAUGGAAGGCAUCCAUAGUUAUUCCCAUAGUCUUGAUGAAGCGGAACUUGUGGGCUUUUCAAAGCCUAAACAGGAGUUGAUUAUGCUGAUGGAUGUCAACGCCAAACAUGGUCCAGCCAAUGUGAUAUGUGCUGUUGGCAUGUGUGGAGUAGGCAAGACUACUCUUGCAACCAAGGUCUAUCAAAGUGAUAUUGCGAAGAAAUUUUCUUCAUGUGCUUGGAUCACAGUCUCGCAGUCAUUUUGCAGAUUGAGCUUCUUAAAGAUAUGAUCAAAAAACUUUUCAGUGAUGAAGCAUUGAUGAAGCAACUUGAAGGGAAGGUGAUGCGAGAAGAGGACCUCGCCCAUUACCUGAGGAUAGAGCUACUUGAGAAGAGGUACUUUGUUGUUCUUGAUGACUUAUGGAACAUAGAUGAUUGGAUUUGGAUCAAAUCUAUUGUUUUUCCUCUUAGUAACAACAAAGGUAGCCGGAUAAUAGUAACGACACAAGAUGUUGACUUAGCCGAGAAGUGUAAUUUGGAAUCUUCCAGAUCACUUAUCUACCACCAUCAAUCCCUAGGAACAAUUGAUGCCAUGAGGUUACUGCUAAGGAAGAUGAGGAGAAGUGAGGAAGACAUGAAAAAUGAUAAGGACAUGAGGGAAAUAGUUAUUAAGAUAGUUAAAAAAUCUGGACGGUUACCCCUAGUUGUACUCACACUAGGAGGCAUGCUUUCCACCAUAGUGGCUAGUGAGUGGCAAAGUAUUUAUAACCAGCUCCCCUUGGAGCUAGAGAGCAACCAAAGCCUUGAAGCAAUAAAGAAGAUGAUUAUCCUGAGCUACAACCACUUGCCUUCUCAUCUUAAGCCAUGUUUCCUAUACCUAAGCAUCUUCCCCAGGAAUGUUGAGAUCCAAAUAAGGCAUUUGAUAAAUAGAUGGAUAACAGAGGGAUUUGUUACAUCUAGGGUUGGAAUGGACAUUGAGGCUGUCGCGAUGAGCUAUUUUUAUGAUUUAGUUAAUAGAGGUACAAUUCAACCGUCAAGAGUAAAUGUAGAAGGAAGGGUUAAGAGUUGUCGAGUCCAUGGUGUCAUCUCUGAUAUCUUGGAAUCCAUUUCAAGAGAUGAAAAUUUUGUAUACCUUACAAGUGAUAUUGUAAGAAGAGCACCAGAGGAAAACUUUCACCAUGUAGUACACCAUGGUCUGAAUUGCCCGAAUAUUAGCAUGGAUUGGAGUCAUGUUCGAUCCUUUACUUUGUUUGGCAUGCUUCCCAUGGAGCCAGUAUGUUCAGCCUACCUGAGGAUGCUAAGUGUCUUGGAUCUUCAAGAUGCACGAUGCAGUAUCACGCAGAAAGAUAUCAACAACAUAGGGUUGUUGCGCCGCUUGAAAUAUCUGAAUGUUCGAGGACAUUCAGAUAUCUGUGCACUUCCAGGAUCCAUAGGGAAACUACAUGGCUUACAAUAUUUGGAUGCAAGAAACAGUUCCAUCACAUCAUUACCCACUGAGAUUAGUAAACUGCAUAGUCUCAUUAGUCUCCGUUGUAGCAGCGGAAAAAUUGAUCUAGAUGGUCCACAGGAAGGCUUGGCGCACAUAUUGUGCCUGCCCAUGGUAUUCACACUUUCUGGUAAAUCUGGUAUCCGAGCUGAGUCAAGAGGUCUGAGGGUGCCAAGAGGGAUCGGUGAGUUGCAAGAGUUACGGACCUUAGAUGUUGUUGACAUCAGAAGAACUAGUAGAAGAGCAAUUAAAGAGCUGGGGGAGCUUAUGCAGCUAAGGAAACUAAGUGUGGUAAUAGCACGGGCAUCCAAGCAAAAAUGUAAGAUACUUUGUGCAGCCAUUGAGAAGCUAUCUUCCCUCUCUUCUCUUGGUGUAGAUGCUGGCGGAAGCUCUCUUGAGUGGAUGCAUUAUGGUUCAUCUCCUCCGCCCCUCCUGAGCUCCCUUAAGUUGGUUGGAUGUCUUGGAGAGGUGCCAGACUGGUUUGGAAGUUUGAUGCAUUUGGUGAAGAUUUACCUAGUGGGAAGCCAACUGAAGGGAGAUAAAACCAUGGAAUUGCUAGGGACACUGCCCAGCCUCAUGCACAUUGGUCUUCAUCGGAAUGCUUAUGCUGGAGAGAAGCUAGUCUUCGCAUGUGGAGCAUUCAUAUGUCUCAGGAAACUGGAUUUUUAUGGAAGUAGUGGACUGAGAGAGGUGAGAUUUGAGGAGGGCACCUCGCCCCACUUGGAAAAGAUGGAAUUCGGCCUUUGCAGGUUGGAAUCAGGGAUUAUUGGUAUCAAGUACCUUCCAAGACUCAAGGAGAUUUCACUUGGUUACGCCGUUAAAGUGGUGAGGCUUUAUGCGCUGCAAAAUGAGGUAGAUGCGCACCCCAACCAUCCCAUGCUGCGACUAUCUGAAGGCAGGAGGGACCAUGACCUGGAGGACAUCAUCACAGAAUUAUCAUCGUCGGAGGAAUCAUCUCCACUUCGAGAGCUUUUAGAAGUGGGAGAAAGCUCCUCGCAGGUGGUGGUCAUGACGGCACGGAGCGACAGCAGCCUCGACCGUGUCAAAGGAGACCUCGAUGACGAUGAUUUCUGCUCCUGCAAUUCCGACGACGAUGAUGACGAUGCCUGAUGGUCGACAGAUACUUCUGCUCCUAUUGCUCCUGGUGCUGAUUUUCCAAGUUUCGCUGGAGGUGUUGCUCGUUUCCAUUUUGCUGCUUCCUCUUGGAAUAUUGCCACCAUCUUCUACACCCUGUUGGAGGAACUGGAGCAACUCUGGCUGCUCCUCGACCUGAAGUGAACCAUCCUGUGCUGCCAAGGACACUUAACGAUCUCGAGUGAAGUUGGAAGCAUGGGAUUCCUUUGCCACGAGAGAGAUAGUCUGGGGUGUCGGACCAUGAAGUCGUCAUCCUGAUAACUGGUAUUUCAGAUGGGUGGGGAGAAGACGCGGAAAGUACAAUGCACGCGGGAUGCUGGUACUAAUUAAGAUGCAGAUGUUGUCAUGUUUGCAAUUGUUCAUCACCGUCAGCUUUCCAAGUCCGACGGUGGUGGCCUUUGUAUGCCGCAAAGUGAAGCUGAUAUACAAACUGAUGUUCCUGCGCUGCCGAAGUCAGAGUACUGCAGUGAUCUUGGGAGUCCCAGUGUAACAGAGGAGACGAAACGUAUGAUACGACGCCAUUUUGAGAUCUCACAAAGGGUUCACAAGUGGCAACUGGUGGCCGAGAUGACAAUCGGUUCUUGGGGAGCACAAUGGAAUGGAUCAACCUGAUGUGGAGACGUGCAGUCAGUUGUGAAUAUAGACACACUUUGUUAAGUAGCACUUCCUCUGUUUUUUUGGAGACGAUUAGGUACUCCCCAUUUGUCGCGGCCACUAUAUCUUCUCUUGUUUGUAGAGAAACAAUGAAGAUUACAUUUGUUGUCAUUCAUGUUCCGUAAAUUUGAGUCGUUGAAUUAAUUGCUCUCUCUUGUGUUUUUAUCCAUGUUCCAGAAAUUAAAGGUGAUGAAAUUACACACCUGCUUUAUAUGCCAUUAACUAUGCGAUUUCCAUUGGUUUCACCUUGCAAUGGUAU
rnacentral:rRNA from 1 species